rnacentral:rRNA from 1 species
UACGGAGGGUGCGAGCGUUGUCCGGAAUCAUUGGGCGUAAAGGGCGCGUAGGUGGCCCGGUCAGUCUUUGGUGAAAGCGCGGGGCUCAACCCUGCGUCGGCCAGGGAUACUGCCGCGGCUCGAGCACUGUAGAGGCAGGCGGAAUUCCGGGUGUAGCGGUGGAAUGCGUAGAGAUCCGGAAGAACACCGGUGGCGAAGGCGGCCUGCUGGGCAGUUUAGCUGACACUGAGGCGCGACAGCGUGGGGAGCAAAAAGG